UCCCUCAGGAUAGCUGGAGCUCG
rnacentral:snRNA from 1 species